GUUACAAUUCAGUUCUGGCGCCAUUUGAUACAAAGAGGGAGUUUAACUCACCAGUGCUGGACAUAAUCCGAGGGGACAUGAGGCAAAGAUCCGCAACUUCUUUCAUCCAUCUUUACUGAGAAAUCAAAAUUCAUGUUUAUCUGCAUUCUAGUAAGGUUCAGACAGGAACACACAGUGGACAUGGAGCCAAUCCAUCACUUACAACGUAGAGCAGCCAAUCCACCUUCUGCAUGUAGAAUAAAACAACCAAGAAAAAAACAGAUAAAAGCAACAAAGAGCGACAAUGCUGCAGCGAGCCAGCAACGAAUCCGGCACUGGAAUAGACCAACAACUGUGGAGGAGGGGGUGUCGACUUCACGCUGCACUACUUACUCUACAAACACUACCGAAUUAUCUGCAUAAAUAUCAUUUAUUAUUAAUAAGCUUGUACUAUGCUCCACAUAUGUAUAUUUUAGCUUAUUUAUUCCUUUUCUUUUAAGAUUUUAUUUUGUAUUUGUCCACCAUACCCCCCCUCCUUUUCAGUUUGACGUUUAAAUGU